UACGUAGGGACCAAGCGUUGUUCGGAUUUACUGGGCGUAAAGGGCGCGUAGGCGGCAAUUCAAGUCAUCUGUGAAAUCUCCGGGCUUAACCCGGAAAGGUCAGAUGAUACUGCUUUGCUAGAGUGCGGAAGGGGCAAUCGGAAUUCUUGGUGUAGCGGUGAAAUGCGUAGAUAUCGGAAGGAACAUCAGUGGCGAAGGCGACUUCCUGGACCAAUACUGACGCUCAGGUGCGAAAGCGUGGGGAGCAAACAGG
rnacentral:rRNA from 1 species